rnacentral:lncRNA from 1 species
UCACCAUAUACUAGGCUUUGAAAGUCAUGGGUUUUAUGAAUUGUUUUUGAAUGCAUGUCUACUUUAAAGUGUUAAUAGCUUGCCUUUGUAUUCAAAUGUUCAUACUUGUUCUUGGCUAGGACAAAAUUUUUCCUUCACCUUCGUGGUCUUUGAGCAGCCCAGCUUUUGAGAAAGCAAACGCCUCUUCGAUUUCUGAGAUCAGCCCUCAUGGUCUCUGAGCAGCUCAGCUUUUGAGAAAGGAAACGCCUCUUCGAUUUCUGGGCAGACGCCUCUUCGAUUUCUGAAGCUCCGUCGAGUGUAGAUUUUUAUAGAGGCUGGCAUUAAGUUCCAAAGCACACUUG